CUCCAUAAGAAAAACAGGUUAAUAGGAGAAAAGCCUAAUCAAUUUAUUUAAAUAAAUUUUUGUCUGCACAGGAGCCUUUAGAAUGAAGACCAAAAGACAGAACUCUCCAUAUUUGUAUACUUUGAUUUUGAUGAUUGGACAGAAAAGAUUUGAUCUAAUGCUAAGAGAUUGAGUGAGAAACCCUGCCAUUCAGGUUCCUUCUUGUCUUCUCUGCAACAUUAUCAGGACCCCUUCUGAAACGGGGAUCUUAUGUGCUUCUAUGUAGCCAGGCAGUUUUGUCAAAUGAGACUCCUGGCUUCUCACUGGCAUCUGAUGAUGACUGGCUGAAGGACAUUCAAGGUGGCUGCUGUGCUAGUGAGGCCUGCUUUCUUCACAGUGAGUUUAACUGCUUUUCCUGAGUAGGUGCUGCUGCUCAUUUACGAGGUGAGAGUUAGGUGUAAAUGUCUAGGCAUCCUAUGUGAGCCUCCUUUUAGUACUAAAAGAAGUAGAAAAACAAAAUUUAUGGUGCAUAAAGAUGGUUUUGUU
rnacentral:lncRNA from 1 species